GCUAAAAGUUCUAGGGAACUCAUUUGGCUGCUUAAAGUUUCAUUUCCCAGGUUCAUUCAACCAGAACAGUUGCCAGAUGCUCUCCAGACUGUAAGAACAACUACCCUAUGUGGUUUUUAAGGAGUACCAGUUAAGGGCAUGCUAAGCCUUGCCCUAAAAAGGAAGUCAUGCUGGCCUUAAAAUCGGGGUAAACUUGCUUCAGCUUCUUAAGUGCUGAGGUUGUAGAUUUGCACCUCUUCACUGUUUCAUAUGCUGCUUUCAAGGUUUUCCUCACAACAAACAUGUUGUCUUUCCAUUAACAGAUAUUUCUUUCCAAGUAUCCCUGCUUAUGUCUGGAGGGAAUGACACUGUACUAUUAGCAUAUGUAUGACUAAGCUAUGAAAGUGAUGAUAUAUAUCUAUACAUAUAUGCAAUAAAUUUUAAGUUACCACCUAA